AGUCGGUCUAUUUUUAACCUAGAAAAAAUUGCAAAAGAAUUAAUUCCGUGUGGAUCGUAUUCUCCUAUGUCUUAUUAAUACAAAGUGUUAUUUUCAAGUCUCAACUCAAUGGGGAAAGUGUUUAAAUUAAACGUUAAAAAUGGCGAAAAAUGCAAAUUUUUCUGAUGUCAAAUGUAGUACACCAUACAUGGUUUUCCAAUAAAUAUGACGUCAUAAAGUGACGUGCAACAGUACAACAUGGCGGGCAAAGUCAGUUGACAGUUCUGCUGAUCGAUGUGGUAUCAACUGUGAUUUUAGGUUAUAAAGACGGUCACGUGGAUCAAUGAAAUAUAGAUUGCGGAAGAAAUCAGUUACUCUUGUUUAAUGUGGCUUGUUACCUGCAAAUAUCAAUACUUAGGUUCAUACAUCGACGAGAGAAGUUGAAAGAAGGCAGUGGGGGCUGGUUAUUGGGAAUUUUUUAAGCAAAGACGCAGUAGUGUAUAAAGUAUGUGACAAGACCAAAAGUUCAAGUAGCUUUGGCCAUCUUUAUCAUUCAGCAUGGGCAAUGUAUGAUGGAUGACAGGCGAAAAGCAGAAAUUUAAGAUCUGAUGAGACGUUUGAUAUCAAGUGUGACUGCUUUUUUUACGCUAAAUCGGACAAAAAGUUUAAGAUCAGAUGAGACGUUUGAUAUCAAGUGUGUCUGCUUUUUCUACGCUAAAUCGUAUAAAUCAGAUAUAAGGCGAGUAAAUCAGACAAAGAAAGUAUCGAAUAUCAAGAAGAAUGUCCUUGGACCAGAGUUAUGCAACAUGCUUCCGUUCAUACAUGCAUACACAGGUUGUGAUGCGAUUUCUAUGAUAUAUGGUAUCAGCAAAGAAGCCGUACUGAAGCUUUUCAGAACCAGUCCCAAUUGUUCAGACAGAUCAUUGAGAUAUUAAAUGAAGAAGAACCAGACGUUAACAAGAUAACAAAUCAUGGUACAGAGGCAAUAUUUUUUCUCAACAACGGUGAUACUUUAGACGGGCUCGAUAUCCUGAGAUUCUGGAAGUUUACCCAGAAGGUUUGCACAACUUGUCAAGCAAAACGGCUGCCUUUCGCUUUCAAUCACUGCGCACAUACCUACAGACACAGAUAUGGCGAGGGCACAACACACUGGAUGCAGUAGAUUUGGGUUGGGAUAUAUCCAACUACAAAUUAAUUCCAGUAAGGACACAUCUGUCUGCUCCUGAACCUCUACUCAAAGUAAUACGCUGUAAUUGCCAACAAAGUUGUGACUCACAACGAUAUACGUGUAGGAAACAUGGACUUGAUUGUUCACAAGAUUGUUCACAAGGCUGUGGGAACUGUCGAUGAAACUGUUCAAAUUCCUCCGACAUCAAUGAUCAUGAGGAAAUUGUGUCUGAAACCUGAACGUAUUAUAUGUACGACCUGUAUAAAGAUUUAAAAUUUUUAAAAGGAUUCGAUGCAUUUAUGAAAAUAUUUGAAAGCAUUCAGGUUUUUCAAUAAUUAUACACAUCAUUUAUUGGAAUGUUUACGUAGCAAAUGGCAUUGACACAUUAUAAUUGAUUCAAUAUGUAUAGAUUUAAAAUAGUUUAGAAUGCAGUACGUUUAGUGUGCGCAUAUAUAUUUAUCGUUUCAAAUAAGAAAAUGCCAGAUUUUCCAAUGAGUUUAUUUGA